rnacentral:rRNA from 1 species
AACGAACGCUGGCGGCGUGGAUAAGACAUGCAAGUCGAACGGGACUUUUUCUGGUAGCAAUACCGGGAAAAGUUUAGUGGCGAACGGGUGCGUAACACGUGGGCAAUCUGCCGAGAAGUGGGGGAUAGCUCGCCGAAAGGCGAAUUAAUACCGCAUAUGAUCAGGGAAGACAUCUUUCCGACAUCAAAGCCGGGGCAACCUGGCGCUUCUUGAUGAGCCCGCGGCCUAUCAGCUAGUUGGUGAGGUAACGGCCCACCAAGGCGAUGACGGGUAGCUGGUCUGAGAGGACGACCAGUCACACUGGAACUGAGACACGGUCCAGACACCUACGGGUGGCAGCAGUCGAGAAUUUUUUCUCAAUGGGGGAAACCCUGAAGGAGCGACGCCGCGUGGAGAUGAAGGCUUU